AACGAACGCUGGCGGCAUGCCUAACACAUGCAAGUCGAACGAAGGCUUCGGCCUUAGUGGCGCACGGGUGCGUAACGCGUGGGAAUCUGCCCUUUGGUUCGGAAUAACAGCUGGAAACGGCUGCUAAUACCGGAUGAUGACGAAAGUCCAAAGAUUUAUCGCCAGAGGAUGAGCCCGCGUUGGAUUAGGUAGUUGGUGGGGUAAAGGCCUACCAAGCCGACGAUCCUUAGCUGGUCUGAGAGGAUGAUCAGCCACACUGGGACUGAGACACGGCCCAGACUCCUACGGGAGGCAGCAGUGGGGAAUAUUGGACAAUGGGCGCAAGCCUGAUCCAGCAAUGCCGCGUGAGUGAUGAAGGCCCUAGGGUUGUAAAGCUCUUUUACCCGGGAAGAUAAUGACUGUACCGGGAGAAUAAGCCCCGGCUAACUCCGUG
rnacentral:rRNA from 1 species